rnacentral:miRNA from 1 species
GACUGAAGGAGUCAUGGAGGAGGAGGAGGAGGAGGAGGGGGGAGAACUUCUGUAAUAUGACACAUGAACAUUCAACAUUUAACUCCACAACAACAACAACAACAUGAGUGAGAGCGACCUCCUCCUCCUCCUCCUCCUCCUCCUCCUCCCUCUCUCCCUCCUCUCC